rnacentral:lncRNA from 10 species
GCUCUGAGAGGCAACCAUUUCUAGGGAAAGGUCUUGUCCUCUUAGUAACAACAACAAAAGAAGUCCAUUUUCAAACAUCUAUUAGACAAUGUCAAUCUUUCUUUUCAAUUGUAUGCUUAGCUUAGCAAAGAGAGUCAGGUGGAAUCUCACACCUUGCCCAAAUUGUAUUUGGUGUGAGGCUCUUCAAAGCUUCCAAGACACCAUCCUUCUCCUCUCCCCCUAUCAGUGGAACAGAUAAAACUGGAGCAACCUGCAUUAUUCUAAAACCAUAGAGAUGAUAUUUCUGUUUGCUUUUCUACUCAUUAGGAAGCUCUGAGAGGAUGCAUAAGAAAUGAAUCACAGUGGGUGAAGAAACUGGACAGACUUCAGUGGGUGAGGAAACUGGGGAGACUUUUCACAUGUACAUUUUGGGUAUUUUUAAACCAUGAGAAUUACUGCCUAUUCAUGAAAAAUUAACCUGAGUAGAAUAUAUAUGAGAGAGUUGCUGCUAAAUAUAUUCCACAUAAUACCACAUAUUGAGGAGGAGGAUGUUACCUACUGAAGAUAUGGGAUUGAAAAACAUGCAAUAACUUUCUGUUUUGCUCAAUGGGUCAUAAGUUGAAAAUUAGACUAGAAAAUAUUUGUUCAGAGAAGUACAAAAUCUUAGGUGAGGCAAAAUGCACACUAGUCCUCUCCUCCCUUAUCUUUCCAAAUGGGGAGACUUGUCAGUUUAAAGCCAUUUGCUCCUCCAGUUAAGUUCUAGGAUCGUAGACUUGGAGGACUGGCUGAGCCAUCAGUCCCAAGUGGAAAGGCUAAGCUAAGCAUACAACUGAAAAGAAAGAUUGACAUUGUCUAAUAGAUGUUUGAAAAUUGACUUCUUUUGUUGUUGUUACUAAGAGGACAAGACCUUUCCCUAGAAAUGGUUGCCUCUCAGAGCACUCCCCUUCACAUACAUCCUCUUACACCUUAGCAGCCUGAGCAAUUUUCUCCCUUCCCAAGGCUUUACCUAGGUGUAAAAGUUCUUGUUACUCAUGAACUUUAAGUUUAAAUAAAAAAGGGGGGAGUAAUGAUGUAAACUCUUUUCAUGUUGUAAACUCAGAAACAAAGGGAUCAACUAAGCAGGGUGUGGAACAAUCGACCCCUUCUACCCAUAGGUCAUUAAAUGGCUGCUGGAUGCCAAAAAGAUUUUAAGCUAGAACUGUUUUCCUUUUCAAGAAAUAUGCAAAUAAACAAACAAACUCUACCAAAGGAUAGAGCUCUUCAGGUCAUUCUUUUGUUUAUGUCUCCUGCAGCUUUUCCUGUUGCAUAGUCCCAGCUAAUAAACAACUUAAGCCACUCUUACAGUGAAGUUCAAAUUGCAAAAUAAGAGACUUAACUGUCUUGUUUAAAGGUAUGCUAUAUAUCAAGUCACAAGGCAAUAAUAUCUAUUCUAUCCUUUUGCGGCAAUAAACAGACCCGCCCCAAAACACAAAAUCAGAUGGCCUUUUCCCACAAAGGCAGGUGGUUAACAAUAGGAUUUCCAAAGGGCACUCAUUUAUGUUGGAAGCUGAUAGGCAUUUCACAUAGUGACCAGGAGAAAGAAUGGGUCAAUGUUUGUAAUACCCAAAAAGGUGGCAACUGGGGGAAACGGUGGGGCAGGAAGGAAAUGGAAGGGAGUUGAAAGCAUCCUUGGUUUCCCCAGCUGUUUGCAGAAGUUGGAACAUACGGUGCCAGGAUUUUUCCAAGAUGGCAAGGGAUAGAAAGUAAAAUUAUUACCCCCUGCCCCCCGCCAAAGAAUGCCUUCCAACAAAUAAAGAUGUAUUCGCAGUUUGGAGACUUUUCUCCUUCCACAGGAAAUGAGCAGAGGUCACUUAGAACCAAUUCUCAUCAUUUAGUAAAAAUAACAGGGUGAUAAUAGAAGCAACAGAAGGAGUCAAGGUGUUUGUGCUAAAAAAAAAAAACUUUAAGUUCAGGCCUGGCCUGGAGUGGGAAUAUCCAAAUGGGUUCUUCAUAUUUCAAGUUUUAUAGACAGUCUUUUCCCUAAAGGAUAUACUUUCAUUAGGUCAUAAAUGCACCAACAGAUGAGAGAGGGAAAGAGGUGUGUGUGUGUGUCUGUGUGUGUGUGUGUGUUUGCAUGUGGCCAGAAUGGCAGAGCAGGUAUGGAGGUCAGGCUGUGCGGGGAGGUGGUGGGGCUGUGUGUCACCCACCUGUGAGGGCAGCAGCCAGGGACUACGACUUCAGGUGGCCCUCUGUGCCUAGGCUUCUCCUUGGUUAUCUUAGUUCUCAGGUUUCCCGUGGGUUCCACUGAGGCUCCUAAUUGCUCCAAAUCCAGGCAUUUACUUGCCUAAAGGCCACAAGAAGUGGGGUGGGGACGUAUCUUUUUCAGAGAGUUUGUUAAAAAUUUAACUCAGAGAAGUGUAUUAGUUGGGGCCUCAAUGCCUGAACUUGGGUGGGAGAAAAAUGGGUUGUUUGGCGACUUUCAUUUCUCGCUGGACCCCAAUUCCCCAGAUUGGAGAGGUUUACCUCCUCCAAAACCCAAGGGGCCCAACUGGGUGCCCCUCGGGGGCCAAUGCUCUUCAUCUUCCCACUCCCUGUUCCAUGCAAGAGAGGACUUUGCAGACAGAAUCGUCCUGACCCGAUAGCCACGUAGGCUUCCUUCCGAGCACUUCUCAAAGUGAGUCUGGGUUUUGCUACCAGUAUCAAUUAGCCGCUUCUGGCGAAUCCCAGAGAAUGUUUAAUUAACUCCACAGCUCUGAUUCACACUUACAGGUUGGUAGCAGUUUAAAAUUAUUGUAAAACACCACCCGGAUAAUAUAUUUACUUUUUGUCUAGGCCAGAUUAGCAAGACACGCGCACACACUCUACGUUUAAGUCACACCCUGCAAUGCAGAGAAAAUAUUUCAAUAGGCAUCUGCAGGCGGCCGAGAAGAACUGGAGCAAUGAUUAUUUUCCUCCUUUUUUGAUUUUCUGUUUCUAAAGAAAGCACUGGUAUCAAGGACGAGUUAGGUAAUGCGUAUUAAAAGGCAAGCAGGUCGCUCUCGUUUACGCCCAAUCAUAGUUCAUAGUUCAAGGAAAACUGCCUUUAAUUGACACCGUGUAUAUUCCUCUGCUCCUCUCAGGCUGCCCUGGCAGGGACGCCCCAAGAGUAUUUAUUUCUAGGGUUGGAAACAAAACAACCAACCCCGUCUACUGCGUAAGAGAGCGUUCCAAGAUGGACUGCCGGAGAAAGGCUUUUUGACCCCUGUGGAAAUUAGUCAUAUUGACAGACGCCCAGGGAAGGUAAAUUACCCCGCGCGCUGACGUUACGCAGAGGCGCACCGGGUUCCGACUCCACCGCGGCGCCGAGGGGGCCAGAGGCUCCCAGUUCUUCCCCGCAUAGUUCGACAAAGCCCUACUUUGCUUCCCUGGGUCUGGGAUCUCAACGUGAAGGGGGCCGAGAGAGCGGUGAUAAGGUGCUAGAAAGGAAACGGCAAGAGGAAACUAAAAAAGUGGAGAGAAAUUUUGUGCGCCGUAGUGCUUAGCAAGCUGGGGAAACGAGGAGAAAACGAGCAAAGUCUACAGGGGAGGGAGAGAGGGAGGAGGCAGGGAAGGAGAGGACCACGAGGCUCCCGGCGCCCAGGCCGCCACUUGGGAGGUCCCGGCCCCAAAGCAGGCCGGGCCAACCGUCCCCCCGGGAGGCUCGGGGCUCGGGCGGGGUCACAAUUACACCUCGGCUCCAGGCGAGGACUUAAAAACCAAGUGGUGGGGACUGCAGUCUGGAAGCAAGGCCCUGCGGUCAUCGGAGGGGGGCCAGGCCCGUGCACAGGAACCUUUUACAAGGCAUGUGGGUACAAGAAAAAAAAUCAAAAUAAACCACUUUCAUCCAGCAUGGGCAGUGAAAAGAAAAGCUGCCUUCCAGAGGGGGCGAGCGGGAGUUUUGAAAUUCAUUGUGUGUUUUGCCUUUAUAUAAGGAGUUUUGCGUUUUUUACCGAUAACCAAAGGGGGACACUAGGGGGAAGUAACUGCUAUUUUUUUUUUCUGGAGAGGGCUGAAAUAAGGGGUUCACCGGUUCUUUCACAAUCAGAUGGUGUCCCAGGACUGCAAGUAACUGCGUACAUCCACACAGCGCAUUACACCAACCUGAGAAGAAUCCUUGCGUGACCGGAUUGUUUCUGAACCUGCCGAGCCCCUGCUGCAUCUGGGACCCGCCUUCACCGUUUCCCAAUCCCAGCGGUUAGCCCCUGCGCCCCCUUUUUGGUCUCCACUUUGCCGUUCGAAAAUGCCUAGGUUGGUGGAUCGACCCUCCGCGGAGCAAAGACGGAUGGCUGGCAGGAGCAGGUUCAGGAGCUGGGCCAAGGAGUGUUUGGCCCGGCGGUCCACCCCGGCUUCCCGAGAUACGCUAGAGUUGCCCCCACGUCCUGUCCGCCGCGCCCCUACCCACCGGGUUGCCUUCGGGGCCCUUCGGUGCUGUGUAGUCGGCGUGGCGCUGUGAGCUAGGCGAACAGGAACCCCCAGGCCCGCCACGUCUACGCUAUUAGCAGCCAGUUUCACACGAAGAGACUUGGAGUAUCUGGAGAAGGUUUUUGAAGACGUUUAGGAGGGAGGGUGAGUUUUCUGCUGAGAAACUCAAUCUGCCAUACAGUAGCGGCCCCAUCUGGGAUCUGUCACUGCUGACAGCACCAGAGGGCACAGCCGUGAUCUUCUGCACAGCCUGCACUCCCCGAAAUACCCUCCUUAAUCAAAGGAUGUCUGCGCGCCUGAGCUCAGCUGACCGCGCCGGGAGCACCAGGGCCGUUGGAUUCCACCCCAGCCCGCCCCCUCCCCACGCACACAGCCACGGCCCCUCGCGUCUUCGCGGCACGUUAAUUAAAUGCGGAAAACAGACAGAGGCUGAUGUCAUUGCUCUCACAAGAUCAUAAACGUAAAAGAGUCAUCCUGUGAGAAUCCCUGAAAAUGACUUUAAUGAAUAAUUUCAGAGACAGUUAUGACUUUGGGUGAUUACUGAGCAAGAAUAUGAAAACCAGAUUUGCAAAGCGAAGGCGAUGGUCAAAAGGCCUGGCAGUUACUUUCUCUCAUUAAAACCGCACCGGCUUUCCUUCUUCGCCAAGUACUAGUUACCAACUGAGGUUGCGUUUUCAGGUUUUCUUCUUCAAAAUAACAGUCUUCUUUUCCUGCUUUUCUGCCUUAUCCUAAAGACAAAAUGUCAGCUCCAGGGAACGACAUUAACAACCCACUUUAAAUUGAAGGCAACUCUGCACUGGCGUCAGUGGCCAUUGGCUUCCAUCUUUUUACAAAGGUUGGAUUUACUGCCAUCUUAGGAUCAUAUCUCUUUUGGCCUCUUCUCUAGGCAAUGUAUUUAAUGAAGGUUGAACAUUCUCACUGACCCUGAGUCAGUGCACUGUUUGUUGUAAAGGAUCUCAGCUGGUGGGGCAAAAAACAAGUUCCAAACAACCUGCCUUUACAGAAGAGUCUCCCUGACUCUUUAGUUCUAGGUCACCAAUGAACUGAAAAAUGAUUUGGUGCUACAUUAAGGAAUAUUUUCAAACACUCCAUCUGGCCAUGGAGAAGCAUCCAGUUGGUUAUAUCUGGUUGCUCAUGCAUUAAAAAUACUAUUUGAGAAAACAACUAGGGUGUUAGUUGUGGAAGUGGCCUGGUGAGUACCCUCUGAUCUUUUGCACGAAGUUUAGCUGCCUGCAAGUCUGUCUUCUUUGCUUGAAAAUAUAAACUGGGACUCUCUGGGCCUGUGUCCCAUGUGGAUUUAUUCCACUUAAUUCAAGUAAAAGUUUGUUUAUACUCUGAGCAAGAAAGUAUUAUAGGCACAAGUGAUGUGGAGUUUUCAGUUUGCUUGUUUUUUGCUGUUGUUUGUUUGCUUUUGAGCGAUCUGAGUGAUUUAGAAAACUAAUGUGUCUCAGUCGGCUCCACCAUUCAGACAGAUCAUAGAGAACCCACUUACCAGCACUCUAGAAAACUGUACUUUGUGCAGACAUUGCCUGAUCCUCCCCUUUCUAGAAGCACAGAUAGGCCAGAAUCCUUCAGUCACUGAGGACACAAUUGUCUAAAAGCCUCAUUCCCUAUCAUUAGCCCCCAAACCGCAGAGCUGUUUCCUUCCCUCUUGGCUCCAGAUAGGGGUGGGUGGGAGAGGGGACUAGGCUCUCCAUGUGACAUUUCCCUGACUUGAGAGGAAAUGUUUCUUUCUGAUUCUAGAUUACAUGAAGACACUUUGGAGUUGGUGUAUAGGGUUUCCUCAAAGAACUGAGGUAACGUGGACUUUAGGGAAUUUUCCUCAAUUGGAUUCCCUGUUUAUUUGUGAUACUAUUUGUGUCCCCCAAAUAGAUCUUCUUGUUGCUCCACUCACAUCAUGAGCAGUUUUCCUUUUCCUCUAGUUACAUUCACUCUAGCUUCUGACUGAAGACUCUGCUUGCCCUUUGUAGCCCGUGCAGGAAUAAACAGCAUCUUCUGGAUUUGCUUUGAAUCCUUGUGCUGCCCAAUGAGUCAGAGGUGUAGGGUUGAUCCAAUAAUAUGGCUAAUUCUCUCCCUGUAAAGACUUUAAAUAAUGUAGGCCUCUCUUCACCCAUCCCCCAUUCUCACCAUCCUGGACUUCACGCGGGUCAUGGAGAAGGUGUCCAGGGUGGGAGGCACGCUGGGUGGGUGUGGCCUCCUUUGGCACAGUGGUUCGGCAUCCUCUGGGGGAGAUUUUGAAAACUGCAGGCUCCGCGUCGAGCCCCUGACCUGCUGAAUCAGAAUUUCUGGUGAAGGUAGGGUGAAAACGGGGCUGAAUUUGUCAUUGUAUCAAGUUGUCCGGGGAGUGGAAAGUCCAGGUGUUGGAUUAAUCCCAGCACCCCUUACUUCAGAAGAGACCAGGCUAUCCCGCAGAACGCUAGGGUCAGAGGUCUGGGGCAUCAGUCAGCCCGUCCAGGAAUUAUGCAAAUAUAUGCAGCCUCUACUCUGAACACUGGGACGUAGUAGGGGACAAAGCUGCCGCCAGCCGUCCUCGUCCUUGCGAGGUGUCAGUGUUUGCGCCAGGGACAACUCCCUGGAGGGCUGGGGGAAGGGAGGGGCAAAAGAGGGUCCAGGGCCUCAGCUCGCUAUGUACUUUAGGGUUUAAUAACAGGUGCAAAGGCAGCUGCUAAAAGACAUCGCAUUCUGUAAUCAGCUUCUGCCAGGCUGUCCGGCUAAACAGAAACUCCCACAAUUUUGGCCCGAGGGCUGUAGGGCGGAGCGGGUGCCAGUGAGAUGAGGGCAACCCUAAGAGGUGGCAUAAGAGCCUUACCCCUAAGAGCCACCCCAACCCCAUCCGGGGCUUGCACCGGCACCGCCUGGGCCGCAGUUGUUGCCUCAGGGAAGCUUCGCCCUGGCGCAGGGAUAGAGCAAAGAAGCGACCGCAUGUGGAAGGCUUUCCAGGCGGAAUGCUCCAGCCGUAGCGAGUUGGAAAAUUUAGAGUGGGGAGGGGGCAGUAGAGAUGUUAACUGGCCCCUCCUCACCCCAAACAAGGAAAACACAGUCUUCUGGGCUAAAAAUACAUAUUUAUGAAGUCCCUAUACGCAGGCAGGCGGCGCGUUCCAGCUGCCGGCCUGGCCCAGGGAGGACUUGGCCGCGCGGCCGCCGAUUACACCCAACUCGGCUGGGAUGGCUCCGAGCCGUCUGCCCUGACGUCAGCGAGGCUCCGGCCCCGCCGCGGCAAGAUAGGCGAGCGCGGCCGGGCGCGGGUGCGGCACUAAUCACUCCCAGAUGUCCCUAAUAGCGGAGAUAAAGACGGACAGAGCGGCCGGGAAUAAAUUUGUAAUCAGGGCUCUACCAUCUGAUCAUCAAAGCGGCCCAAAUGCCGGGAGAAUUUGAAGGGAAUGCGUGUGAGGGGGGUCGCUUGGGGGAAGAGGUGAGGGUGCACUUCGCGAUGGGAACUGGCUUCGGUAGGGUAGAGCAGGGAGAACAGGGCGAGAGAUCUGUAAGUUCGGUGCACGUAAGUCGGAUACUCGGUGCUCUUUAACCUCCAUUAGCCCUCAGACCGAAGCCGUUUAGCGGUUCCAGGCUGAUUGGAGCUGCGCAGUUGCUGUGCGGGAAGCACGCGUUGCGCAGCGGCUGGGUGGUAAGGCGGCGCGAUGAGAACUGUCCGGCCCCCGGAAACGUGGGAUUGGUUUCCUCUCCCGGAGUUCUCCCCUCCCCCUUCUUUCUAAACAUUUAAAAAACACGUAGUCCGUCUCCCCCAACCCCCAUUCCCGGUAGACUUAAUCCCAACAGCAAUUCAUUGCACCGCGGAGCUUCCUCAGGGAGGGGGCUGUUGGAGCCUCCAACCAGGGUCCUGGGCCCCAGUCUGAGAAUGACUCCUGGGUUUUUCUCUCCAAGCGAUCCGCAGGCUCUGACAGGCCAGGAGUCGCGCGCGUCCGGGAGACUCCUUAGCGCCCCCUCCUCACGUGGAGAUCUGGACUCUCAGGAGCUGGGCCCAAUGGAAGGAAUGGGUACCCUUGGGUCACCAGGGUCCAGAUUCGGCCCUCUACGGCGCCCAUGCCACAAGCCUCCCUCAAGACCAUCUCUGCUUGGCACCCACUAGCCAGCUCCUUUUCCAAAUCUAGGAGCCUGGGUGGGACUCACAGGCAGGGAGAACUCAAGGCGGCUGUGGAAAACAAAAUCGCGUGCCGCCCGCGCAAUAUUUGAUUAAAGCUUCAGGGCUAACUGAGCGGUUUCUUGCGCUUUGCAGGCCCGCAGUGUAUGUUCAGUCCCAGUUUUCCUGGCACCCUUUGCCCUGCUUAUGUCCCCUGCACACACCUCAGGCCCUUGCAACUGGCCCGGGUUCUCUCUGCAAAUCUGUAGUCUGGGAAGGAACUCCCGGGUCUCGUACUCCCUGCCGCUUUGCAUUUGAGCUCUCACCUUCCUCACCCCUUCCUGCGAAUUCCAGGUGCGCUUACCUCUCUUGUUCUCCUGCUACUUCACCAAUCCGAGCGGGAGACUAGCUCUGCAAUUCACGCCAAGCUGGGGCAGCGGCUAGCAGAGUCUGGUCGAAGGAAUUGAACCACCUUCCACUCCCGACACACGCACAAGUGCUAAGAGGCCCCCAGGCUGCGCUCCCUGGCACGGCUGCUACGCUCACCUCAUCACGACCAAGCAGCCUGGUGCUCCUACACCUAAGGAGGCAACCCAGACCCAGAGGUCCACCCUUCCUAGAUGCCUGGGCCUGCUGGCUAACCCAUCCCGAAAGCUGGAGCUUGCUGUCUCGGCCUGGAAAAGCCCUUUAAGUUGCUGUCAGUGCCCAGGCAAUUGGGAGCGGGGCCCCCACUCUGCAGUUUUUCAAAUUGCUUCCCAAGCUGAGAAGGGGUUUGCGCGCGCGCACACACACACACACACACACACACACACACCGUCUACAACUGGCCAAGCCUUUGCCCCUCCGGUGCUCCAGGGUUAUCAGACGCUGGGCCUGCACAGCGGUCUGGGGCAGAGCCCUGACAGCCAGAUCUACCAUCAAUUUACCUUCCGCCGCCGCAGCUUCCCAUUUAGCUUUUAACGUCAAAUCCUACAUUUUUGUCGGCUCCGGCCUGUCUAGAACGCUUGUGAUUUCCCUGCAGGAGUGAUUGCUCUUAACAAAAUGGCAGCAACCACAUUAUCCGAGCAAUUAAAACAGAGGCCUUUUAGCCGGUCCCGCAAGUAGAGGCUUGGAAAAUUUUUUUAAACAAAGAAGAAAAAGUUAAAAGAGAAAUAAGUGUUGGAAGAGAAAAGCAUGGAAGCUCAGAAGAAACGUCUGCCCAGUACGCCUUUCACUUCCUGGGACUUGACAACCUGGGGCGGGGAUGUUGGGUGGCUGAGAGCGGCUGGGGUGACAGAUAAUCUGGGGUGUCCUGCAGGUUGAAGCAUCUGGUCAGUUGGGGUGUGCGUCUGGUUAGGGGGUUCAGCCGCCUGCAGUGUCAGGCAGCUGGGCAUUCUGCCGUCUGGGGUGUCCGGUCUGCUGGGUGUCUGGCUGGUUAGGGUUUCUGGCGAGUUGAAAUGGCAGGGCGGGUGGGGUGACCAGGCCUAGUGUUGCUGGCCCUGAGGAAGAGGAGGCAGGCUGUGCUUGGCCGGGGCCAAAGAGGAGCGCAGGUUUAAAAAGCAAGUGUAUUAGCAAGUUUCUCCGUAGCAAUGGUGCGCCAGGGUCUUUUGGUUUCCCUCUGUUGUUGUUUAAUAAGCCAGAGAAAGUGUUAAAUCUGCAGAAGUGCCUUAAGGCCCAGAUGGCGGAGACCAGCUACACAAGGUGCAGAGAAGCGUAGGUGCAUGGUGAAGAUAACUCCUCUCCGUUUCCUGUUUUUAAAACCUCACCUCCUCCGCCACUGUUUACUCCAACACUUUGGUAGGCUCCUUUCUUCCACGUCUAGGACCUGAUGGCUUUCUCCUGAGCAGAUUAAAAUAAAGACGCGGAAGACAACUGGAAUCAGGAGAGGGAGGGAACCACUGGAUCAAACGCAGGAGGAUUGGGAGAGCAACAGAAAAUCAGGGCGCGCCUCCCCCACACCUCCUCCCCAUGCUAUAAACAAAGCCUCCUCCCCCCUUCCCGCAGCCUGCACAGGCACUUUAGUUUCUCCGGUUUCUAGAGCUGAGAUUCAAGCUUCCGCCAAGGCUGCAGGCAAAGGAGGCCGCUGGGACUUUCUUCUGGGACGAGCUGGGACUCAGGGAGCCCAAAGACCCAACAGGGAGAGAUCCCGGGUCCCGUGCUGCCGGUAGUCCCGGAAGGGUGUCGCUUGUUUCGCUGGGCUGCGGCCGGGAAGACUUCAGACACCGCACAGUUAAUAUUGAGUUCCCUGUAACUCCUUGUAAAUCUAACCCGCCCCUCGCCCCUCUUUAAAUCCGUGGUCUUGUUCACGAUUUCUUACUUGACGUAAAAUUCCUUGUUACCUAAUCAUGGACUUUUUCGAAACUCCCUCCACCCCCCUUUCCCGCCUGCUCAGAUGAGAAGCCCCCGUAUAGAAUACAAGCAAAAUCCUCUCCUCUCUUUUCUUUUUCCUUUUUUUUUUCUUGGAUGAAAGCCCCAUAGUUUGAA